AAAGUCGUAACAAGGUUUCCGUAGGUGAACCUGCGGAAGGAUCAUUAAUGAAACUUCAAAGUCGGCCCCGUUCCGUGCUGGUGGUAAUGCACAUGUGCACGUUCGCGGUCGCAAAUCCACACACCUGUGCAUCCUACGACUCUGAGCGCCGCUUUGCAUGGUCGACCGAGGGGGAGACCUGGCGCUCGAGUAACUUUUACACACUCUGAAUGUAAUGGAAUGUCUUUGUGCGAUAUGUACAACUAAAAACAACUUUCAACAACGGAUCUCUUGGCUCUC
rnacentral:misc_RNA from 1 species